rnacentral:rRNA from 1 species
UACGUAGGCAGCGAGCGUUGUUCGGAGUUACUGGGCGUAAAGGGUGCGUAGGCGGUUGUUUAAGUUUGGGGUGAAAUCUCCCGGCUCAACUGGGAGGGUGCGCCGAAUACUGAAUGACUAGAGUGCGGGAGAGGAUAGUGGAAUUCCUGGUGUAGCGGUGAAAUGCGUAGAUAUCAGGAGGAACACCGGUGGUGUAGACGGCUAUCUGGACCGUAACUGACGCUGAGGCACGAAAGCGUGGGUAGCAAAAAGG